AAUUCCAGGUGUAGCGGUGAAAUGCGUAGAGAUCUGGAGGAAUACCGGUGGCGAAGGCGGCCCCCUGGACAAAGACUGACGCUCAGGUGCGAAAGCGUGGGGAGCAAACAGGAUUAGAUACCCUGGUAGUCCACGCCGUAAACGAUGUCUACUUGGAGGUUGUGCCCUUGAGGCGUGGCUUCCGGAGCUAACGCGUUAAGUAGACCGCCUGGGGAGUACGGCCGCAAGGUUAAAACUCAAAUGAAUUGACGGGGGCCCGCACAAGCGGUGGAGCAUGUGGUUUAAUUCGAUGCAACGCGAAGAACCUUAC
rnacentral:rRNA from 4 species